rnacentral:rRNA from 1 species
UACGUAGGGUGCAAGCGUUUGUCCGGAAUUAUUGGGCGUAAAGAGCUCGUAGGCGGUUUGUCGCGUCUGCUGUGAAAACCCGAGGCUCAACCCUCGGGCCUGCAGUGGGUACGGGGCAGACUAGAGUGCGGUAGGGGAGAUUGGAAUUCCUGGUGUAGCGGUGGAAUGCGCAGAUAUCAGGAGGAACACCGGUGGCGAAGGCGGUUCUCUGGGCAUUACCUGACGCUGAGGAGCGAAAGUGUGGGGAGCGAACAGGG